AGCGGCGGACGGGUGAGUAAUGCAUAGGAAUCUGCCCGAUAGUGGGGGAUAACCUGGGGAAAUCCAGGCUAAUACCGCAUACGUCCUACGGGAGAAAGGGGGCUCCGGCUCCCGCUAUUGGAUGAGCCUAUGUCGGAUUAGCUAGUUGGUGAGGUAAAGGCUCACCAAGGCAACGAUCCGUAGCUGGUCUGAGAGGAUGAUCAGCCACAUCGGGACUGAGACACGGCCCGAACUCCUACGGGAGGCAGCAGUGGGGAAUAUUGGACAAUGGGCGCAAGCCUGAUCCAGCCAUGCCGCGUGUGUGAAGAAGGCCCUCGGGUUGUAAAGCACUUUCAGCGAGGAAGAACGCCUAGCGGUUAAUACCCGCUAGGAAAGACAUCACUCGCAGAAGAAGCACCGGCUAACUCCGUGCCAGCAGCCGCGGUAAUACGGAGGGCGCAAGCGUUAAUCGGAAUUACUGGGCGUAAAGCGCGCGUAGGUGGCUUGAUAAGCCGGUUGUGAAAGCCCCGGGCUCAACCUGGGAACGGCAUCCGGAACUGUCAAGCUAGAGUGCAGGAGAGGAAGGUAGAAUUCCCGGUGUAGCGGUGAAAUGCGUAGAGAUCGGGAGGAAUACCAGUGGCGAAGGCGACUCACUGGGCCAUUACUGACGCUGAGGUGCGAAAGCGUGGGUAGCAAACAGGAUUAGAUACCCUGGUAGUCC
rnacentral:rRNA from 1 species